GACGAACGCUGGCGGCGUGCCUAAUACAUGCAAGUCGAACGCAGUGGGGACGGGUGAGUAACACGUGGGUAACCUCCCAUCAGAGGGGAUAACACUUGGAAACAGGUGCUAAACCGAUACUGGUUGCUGGACCCGCGGUGCAUGAGCUAGUUGGUGGGGUAACGGCUCACCAAGGCCACGAUGCAUAGCUGACCUGAGAGGAUGAUCGGCCAAACUGGGACUGAGACACGGCCCAGACUCCUACGGGAGGCAGCAGUAGGGAAUCUUCGGCAAUGGACGAAAGUCUGACCGAGCCACGCCGCGUGAGUGAAGAAGGUUUUCGGAUCGUAAAGCUCUUUUGGUAGAGAAGCGGUAUCUAACCAGAAAGCCACGGCUAACUACGUGCCAGCAGCCGCGGUAAUUC
rnacentral:rRNA from 1 species